UGGGGAAUAUUGGACAAUGGGCGAAAGCCUGAUCCAGCCAUGCCGCGUGAGUGACGAAGGCCUUAGGGUUGUAAAACUCUUUCGUCGGGGACGAUAAUGACGGUACCCGAAGAAGAAGCUCCGGCUAACUUCGUGCCAGCAGCCGCGGUAAUACGAAGGGAGCUAGCGUUGUUCGGAAUCACUGGGCGUAAAGCGCACGUAGGCGGAUAGUUAAGUCAGGGGUGAAAUCCUGGGGCUCAACCCCAGAACUGCCUUUGAUACUGGCUGUCUCGAGGUCGAGAGAGGUUGGUGGAAUUCCUAGUGUAGAGGUGAAAUUCGUAGAUAUUAUCCAGAACACCAAUUGCGUAGGCAAGUUACUAAGUCAUAACUGACGCUGAGGCACGAAAGUGUGGGUAUCAAACAGGAUUAGAUACCCCAGUAGUCCCUGAGCGGGCUGGCAAGGCGCAU
rnacentral:rRNA from 1 species